UACAUUUUAAACACCCUGCAGAGAAAGGUUGCUGCGUUUGGACCAGGAGGGAAGUUGUGGAGGUCCAGAUUGUUUACCAUAUCCAGGUUCUAUUUUAAAAGACAGCUGACAGACUUCUGAUACAUUAGAUGCAUGGUGAAAGAAAAAGAAAAGAAUCAAGGCUAUUUUUAAUCACAAACAGACUUUUCAACAUGUGGAAUUGGGGAUGAAGACAUCCUGUUAAAAGAGAAGAAUCUGAGGAAAGACACAGGUGCUUCAGGCUGGAAGGGAUCCUGAGAGGUCAUCACCCUGCCUCAAGGCAGAAUGAACCUGAAGUCUCUUAGAGGAAAAAGAUGAAGAAUUUAGGAAUUCCACCACUCUUCUACAGGCCCACCCUCUUCAACCCCCUACCCCGGCUCCCCCAAACCAAGUCCACCUCAGUAAGGGUGUGCACACAAUAGCAAAGCUGCUCUAAUUUUUGUUUGUUUGUUUCUUUUUAAUUGAUGCAGAGAAGCUUCAGAUGUAAUGAUUAAUUUAAAUACAGAAAAUAAUCCUUAAUAGAAAAAGUCUCAAUAUUGGAAUGUCUAUUAUCAUCAUCAUCAUCAUCAUUAAAUUCAGUUAUUAAUUUCCAAUCAUAAUGAUCUAAUUAGGUUUUAAUAUUUGUGCAUAUCACAUUAACAGGUAUUCCUCUGAAUACAGUGUUGUCCCCAAAUUUUAUCACUAACAAAAAAGGAAACUGUUGCUUAGCAAUAAGGAAAAACAUAGGGCUAAAAUUCAUCUCAAAAGCAUAUUGUAGUCAGCCAUAAGAAGUCAUAGUAAAUGAUGAUAUCUAAAGGAAUGGUUGAAUGUGGAAACUCAAUGGGAAAAGAACUGUUUCCUAUUAGUUUUAACAGCAGGGUUUGUUAUCAUUUAAAUACACGCUCUAAUACACUUAGUGUUUUGUGCUACAUUUAACAAGAUUAAGUGAACACACACUGUUUCAACUCAAAUCUUUAUAGGAAAUCAGAGGCAAGCCUCAUUUCUUGCCAAAACAUUCUCUUAUGGCUCAUUUUUGGAGCAAAUUCCAUAUAAGUAAAUCUGUUUACCCAGGUGACCACUGAUCAACUAAAGGAUUUUCCUUUCAGGUAUUUCUGCUUUACAGAACUUUGAAAACUUUAUCUGAAAGUUCAAAAAAAUAGAUCCAUCCUAUGUGCUAUAAAGACCACAAUUUGUAAAACAAUGAAAAUGGCAUUUGAAUAUAGCAAAGAAUUAAAAGAAAAUAAGAAGGAUAAGCUCUCAGAAUUCUUACAUGAUUUCACUGUCAUGCUACAAAUUAUUAUAUUCUGAGGAAAAGUAGUAGAUACUAGAUAGCAUACCCAAAAGGACAUAGUGUCUCAUUGUCUCAUGUGUUAAUUUCCCCCUUGACUGAAAAAGCUUGAACAGUCUGAAAGUAAGCUUCCAAGAACAUUACAAAAGAGGUGGCCCUAUCUCAACUUUCAGAUAAACUUAAUGAAAUUUUACCUGUUAUGUCAUCCUACACAUCAAAUUCCAUUUUAAAGGACAAUACAUCUGUAGUUCCUUGCAUUUUAUAUUAUCUUGUAAGGCAUUUCUCCUUAUAUAUGUAUGAUGCAAAUAUAUAUAUAGAUAUCUAUCUAUAUGUAUAUGAUGCAAAUAUAUCUAUAUCUAUAUAGAUAUAGAUAUCUAAAGAUAUCUCUAUAAAUAUAUCUAGAUCACUCUAUAUUUUAUAAAAUAUUUUAUGUUCUAGUUCAAGUUCAAUAAAUAUUUAUAUAGCUUCUUUUUUUUUAUUUUCCACAUUUGUAAGUGGAAUGUAGGAUACAUGAAAUAAAAGUGAUUUUGCCAUACUUCUAUUGGUCUUGUAGGUAGUUUAAAAAUCUAGU